AGAAGAUUUUUCAGAGAUCCUUGUGAGAAAACUGAAGCAAAGAAGGAAUUAAAUUUUUCUAAAACAACAUUUUGCUUAGAAUUUUAGCUUGUUGCCUACACAUCAUCAAUACUUCAGCUAAACAUCUGUUGACUUCCUAUUUGAGGCCUUGCUCCACUAAAUUAAUGAGCUCAGUAGGUCAAAUGAGAACUUCAGAAAACUCUUUGAAAACGGAAUGGAAGCAUGAGCAGAAGCCCAUGGUGUCCUGAGAAGGUUACCUGCUGAGGAAAAAAAAAAAAAAGUGGUGGGAGACCUUGAAAGCAAAAUCAUGAAGGGAAUUGUGCUUUGUCCCAGUGGCAGAAAUCACAGCUCAGAAAGAAUUUUUUCACCAGUUUGAACUACAGAUGGGUCUCAUGGGAUUUGCUUUCAAACAUAAGGGAGAUAUUCAGGCUUUCAGAUUUCAUUACCACUUUCCUCAUUAUUGUGUGCCUUGAGGAGCUAUAAAUAACACAUGGCUAAUUUGUGAGUAUGACACGUUCCAGGGGAUAUGUGUAUUUUAAUCAGGGCACCUUCUGACAUUUGGUAAUUGGUUCACAGAUUUGUUAUAUAAUUUCAUGAUUAUUAGGUUGCUAGGAGGAGAAAAAAUCUAAAUUUGUUAUCCAGAAUCUACCCUCAUUGGACCCUUGUAGUAUCUGUGGUUUUUACAGGUUUAACUACAGAUUUUGAGUCAGUGAAAAUAUAAACUAUUGUUUCAGUUUGUUUGUUUUCUAUUUCUUAUAGUUUUAGUCAUAUGAUUAGUAGCUGUGUUCUUUAUGACAUAUUUCUUCUAGUGAAAACUUCCUAUUUGUGUGUCUAUCACUAAAAUACUUGCUUUUCAGAUAUAUUUAUAUUUGGUCUGGUGAAAAAAAAAAUCAGUUUUUAUGUUGAAAGUAUGUGUUUGAUGCUGG
rnacentral:lncRNA from 1 species